UGAGUAAUCUGCCCUCCACUUCGGGAUAAGCGCCGGAAACGGCGUCUAAUACCGAAUACGACGCGCUUUCGCAUGAGAUGCGCGUGGAAAGUUUUUAUCGGUGGAGGAUGUGCUCGCGGCCUAUCAGCUUGUUGGUGAGGUAACGGCUCACCAAGGCGACGACGGGUAGCUGGUCUGAGAGGAUGGCCAGCCCAACAGUUUGGGGACUGAGACACCGGCCCAGACCUCGUACGGGGA
rnacentral:rRNA from 1 species